GUAUAUUCUCUUUUAUAGAAUAAAUUAUGAAGAAAUAUGACCAGAAAAGAAUGAGUAGUAUUCUCCAAUAAGUACAUGUUAUUAUUAAAGCAAUAAUUUAGCAUAUCUACAUAUUGAAAUAGGUUUUCUAAAGGGUCACAUUACAAUAUCAGUGCCCCAUCAAUGAACCAUAUAUCCAUUGAAUAACUAAUCAAUGUGCACACUUUGUCAUAGUUUGCUUCAGGGUCUCAGGUUAAGAAUCUAUGUGCUGGUGGAAUCUGUGCGUCUUUUGGAACCAAUGAGACCAUGUAAGUACAGUCCAAGCUCUUUAUUAACAAACAGGAAAAGAAAGACAGAAGACCUGUAGAAAGAAAAUCACUAUGAGUUUGGAAAAUCAGCAAAGGUUACAAACCAGGGCAUAAUCUGGUAAGGAAUUUAUAGGUAAAGUCAAAGAAGCGCCAGGUAUCAGUCAAGGAACAGUAGAGGUAACAAACAAGUUGAACAGGCAAAGCAAACUAUAGACUUGGGCAAUGUUUUUGGGGGUCACAGUUUGGACGAGUAUUCUGAAUCUCUGAAUAGCACAAUGGAAGAAUAAACUAAUGAAGAAGUUGCAAAAUGGAAGAAAUUCUUCCAUGCACCAUUUGUUCAUUAGUUUACUCUUGUAAAUUCAUCAAAAUUGGUACCCUUAUGUGGGAUUACCAUAUUUAAAGGAGCACUAUAGUGCCAUGAAAUCAAACUCGUUUUCCUGGCACUAUAGGGUUAUUAGCCUCUCCACCCUCCCCCAGGGAUCCCCUCCCGCUGGGCUGAAGGGCACUUACCUUAAUCAAGCGCCGGGCUCCAUCGGCGCUGGUGACCUCUUCUCCUCCUGCCGAUGUUAGCGACGAAUGCGCUUGCGCGGCAACCCACGCGCAUUCAAAAAGCCUAUAGGAAAGCAUUACUCAAUGCUUUCCUAUGGACGUCCAGCGUCUUCUCACUGUGACUUUCACAGUGAGAAUCGCGAAAGCGGCCUCUAGUGGCUGUCAGGGAGACAGCUGCUAGAGGUUGGAUUAACCCUCAGUGAAAUGUAUCGGUUUCUCUGAAACUGCUUUGUUUUCAGCUGCAGGGUUAAAACUAGAGGGGCCUGGCACCCAGACCACUUCAUUGAGCUGAUGUGGUCUGGGUGCCUAUAGUGGUUCUUUAAUGAUACCAAUACCAAACUUGUAGUUGGUUUUCCAAAAGGUUUGC